rnacentral:rRNA from 1 species
GUGGAUUAGAUACCCUAGUAGUCCACGCUGUAAACGAUGAGUGCUAGAUGCUGCGGGUAUUGACCCCCGCGGUGUCGAAGCCAACGCGUUAAGCACUCCGCCUGGGGAGUACGGCCGCAAGGCUAAAACUCAAAGGAAUUGACGGGGGCCCGCACAAGCGGUGGAGCAUGUGGUUCAAUUCGACGCAACGCGCAGAACCUUACCUGGGUUAAAUCCACUCGAACUUGGCAGAGAUGCCUUGGUGCCUUUCGGGGAGCGAGUGAGAAGGUGCUGCAUGGUCGUCGCCAGCU